rnacentral:rRNA from 1 species
UACAGAGGGUGCAAGCGUUAAUCGGAAUUACUGGGCGUAAAGCGUGCGUAGACGGUUAUGUAAGUCAGGUGUGAAAGCCCACGGCUCAACCGUGGAGGGUCAUUGGAAACUGGGGGACUUGAGUGCAGGAGAGAAGAGUGGAAUUCCACGUGUAGCGGUGAAAUGCGUAGAGAUGUGGAGGAACACCAGUGGCGAAGGCGACUCUCUGGACUGUAACUGACGCUGAGGCUCGAAAGCGUGGGGAGCAAACAGG